UACGUAGGGUGCGAGCGUUAAUCGGAAUUACUGGGCGUAAAGCGUGCGCAGGCGGUUCGUUGUGUCGGCGGUGAAAGCCCCGGGCUUAACCUGGGAAUGGCCGUUGAAACUGGCGAACUGGAGUGUGGCAGAGGGGGGUGGAAUUCCGCGUGUAGCAGUGAAAUGCGUAGAGAUGCGGAGGAACACCGAUGGCGAAGGCAGCCCCCUGGGCGUAACACUGACGCUCAGGCACGAAAGCGUGGGGAGCAACAGG
rnacentral:rRNA from 1 species